UACAGAGGUCCCAAGCGUUGUUCGGAUUUACUGGGCGUAAAGGGUGCGUAGGCGGUUAGAUAAGUCUGACGUGAAAUCUCCGGGCCUAACCCGGAAACUGCGUUGGAUACUAUUUGACUAGAGGAAUGGAGGGGAGACUGGAAUACUUGGUGUAGCAGUGAAAUGCGUAGAUAUCAAGUGGAACACCAGUGGCGAAGGCGAGUCUCUGGACAUUUCCUGACGCUGAGGCACGAAAGCCAGGGGAGCAAACGGG
rnacentral:rRNA from 1 species